rnacentral:rRNA from 1 species
UACGGGGGGAGCAAGCGUUGUUCGGAAUUACUGGGCGUAAAGAGCGUGUAGGCGGCCAAGCAGGUCCGUUGUGAAAACUGGAGGCUUAACCUCCAGACGUCGACGGAAACCGCGUGGCUAGAGUCCGGAAGAGGAGAGUGGAAUUCCUGGUGUAGCGGUGAAAUGCGCAGAUAUCAGGAAGAACACCAAUGGCGAAGGCAGCUCUCUGGGACGGUACUGACGCUGAGACGCGAAAGCGUGGGGAGCGAACAGG